rnacentral:rRNA from 1 species
AUUGAACGCUGGCGGCAGGCCUAACACAUGCAAGUCGAGCGGAGCGGCGGACGGGCGAGUAAUGCCUACGUAUCUGCCUGGUCGUGGUGGAUAACGUCAGCAAACGGGCGCUAGUACCGCAUCCUAUCUGAUUAGCCUAGGUCGCAUUAGCUAGUUGGUGGGGUAAAGGCCUACCAGGGCGACGAUCCGUAACUGGUCUGCGAGGAUGAUCAGUCAAACUGGAACUGAGACACGGUGCAGACGCCCACGGGAGGCAGCAGGGGGGAAUAUGGGGCAAUGGGCGAAAGGCUGAAACAGCCAUGCCGCGUGGGUGAAGAAGGUCUUCGGGUUGUAAAGUAGUUUAAGUUGGGAGGCGUUACCAGCAGAAUAAGCACCGGCUAACUUCGUGCCAGCCGCCGCGGUAAUAC